rnacentral:rRNA from 1 species
UAGCUCAGGACGAACGCUGGCGGCGUGCCUAAUACAUGCAAGUCGAGCGGAGUUGAUGAAGUGCUUGCACUUCUGAGACUUAGCGGCGGACGGGUGAGUAACACGUAGGUAACCUGCCCAUAAGACUGGGAUAACCCACGGAAACGUGAGCUAAUACCAGAUAGGCAUUUUCCUCGCAUGAGGGAGAUGAGAAAGGCGGAGCAAUCUGCCACUUAUGGAUGGACCUGCGGCGCAUUAGCUAGUUGGUAAGGUAACGGCUUACCAAGGCGACGAUGCGUAGCCGACCUGAGAGGGUGAUCGGCCACACUGGGACUGAGACACGGCCCAGACUCCUACGGGAGGCAGCAGUAGGGAAUCUUCCGCAAUGGACGAAAGUCUGACGGAGCAACGCCGCGUGAGUGAUGAAGGUUUUCGGAUCGUAAAGCUCUGUUGCCAGGGAAGAACGCCUAGGAGAGUAACUGCUCCUAGGGUGACGGUACCUGAGAAGAAAGCCCCGGC